UCUAUCGGUAGUAAACUUGCUGGUAAGCUGGGGCCAUCCCAUUGCCAUAGCCACCAUAUGGAGAAUAGUUCACUGGGGUGCCUGGAGAGUAGUUCACUGGGGUGCCUGGAUAUGGGGCAGCUUCUGGAGAGUAAGGAUAAGGCGGGCUCCUGUUACCGUAGAUUGCAGGUGGUGCAGCAUAUGCUGGAACUGCAGCAGGGUAUUGGGUGUGUGAGGGAGACCUAACAAAUGCCGGGGCUACUGGGAAAGAUGAUACAUAGGCAUUUGUUGAACGGCCUGCCUUAGCAGGAGGCAUAGGACCAACGUUACUGGCUCUCGUUCUUUUAUUUGCUGGUACAGCAGCUGGCCUCUUUUUCUCAUUCUUGGGCUUCUCCGACUGCUCAAGCUGCUUUUUAAGGUUUUCUGGAGGGAAUUCAGCCUCAAGCUUGUAUUCUUCAAUACACUUAAGGACAGAACGAAUCGCUGAUUGCUCUUUCUUUGCAGCUAGAUGCUGUUAAACAUGCAAAAGUAAUUAAUAAAUAAAAUUGGAACAAUCAUAUAGUUUUUCAUCGUCCAUACAAUUAACACGCAUGCGCCUUUGUCACAAUGAACUUAAUGUACUGGAAUUGCAUACACCAUAACAGCAGUAAAGUUCCGAAUUAUCAAUGACUGUUUGAGCUUAGAGCUCUAUGGCAUGAAAUGUAAGAGCACAUCAGUACAUAAAUGGCAUGAGAGAAACUAAAGUUUCUUCCAACAUUAGGUCAAAUGAUUAGGGCAACACUUCUGACUAUGUCUAGACCCUCUCCAAGAACAAAGGGAAAAUAUGCAAAUCUUGGCAAAACUGAGCACCCAAUAUUUAUGCCAAAAAAAAAAAAAAAAUUGACUGAACCUGGCUGCAUUCACAGGCAGGGAGAGCAUAGCAGAAAGAGAGUCAGGACAGAUAUUGCCAACUACACUAACAUAGAACAAGACAGUUGAGACAAUGUGGAGAAAAGAUUUAAACAAGAUACAGGAAAGCUGGAUGAAAAUAUACAUAACAGGAGAAAAAGAAUUGGAUGAUACCGCAGCUCGACCAGAAUUAUUUGGGUCUUCCAGAAUUGCAGUAGCAGCUUUUUUCGCAUCUUUUAGGUAAGCUUUCAGAAGAGGAACAGGAGGGAACCUAUCAGCAAGUCCAACUUCAUAAGUGAAAUGUACGGCAUCAACUUGCUGUCCUCGGCUGAUUAAUUCUUCAAUCAUUUCUGUAGACAAGAAGAGGAUACAACAGUAAGCUUACAUACCAAAAAUAAUUUGUUGGAGUAACAUAGACAAAUAUGAACAACUAAACACUUAUAAGGUACUGUGAGAAUCCUUGAACUUACUACCCAACAUACCUACAGACAAACAAAACAAUUAACAUGGCGUACAAAUAUGAAAGCAACUAGAUAGGAAAAAUAGGGGAUGCACUGAAAGAUCUUAAAUGUAGGUCCGUGCACAUAAGCAAAAAGUACUCUCCUAGGAAGAUUAGAUCCUGCUGUCAACAUGCUCCCCACAGUGUUCUUUUUCAAUGAUUCAACACAAAGUGGAGGACUAAGGAUUAAUAUUUCAUCCACCAUACUUCACAAAUAGUACACCAACAAUAACUGUUGGGGCAUGAGGCUUAAUCUAGUGCCCCUUUGCUUCCACGGUUCAUUUCAACUAUGCCUCAAUCACAAGAUAUAAUUUGUUUCUAGUAUUUCAAACCAAGACAAAUUUCAUAUAACUAAUAUAUCAUCUACAUAUUAAUAUUUUCCACUUCUAGUUGGAUAAUCCUACCUAUUGCCAAAAAAUUAUAUUGUACUUCAACAGUAGAAGCAAGGAAAACGCACAUCAAAUGAGAAGAUACUCGAUGUGUGGACAAGGAAGUGUUGAUGCUAAAAAGAGUUUCACACUAAGCAUGGCAACAACGUAAAUCCCUUCUACAUCAUGUGGCUUACAAUAACCUCAAAACAUUAGGUUACCUCUGCUAAGACAACUGCACUUGUUUUAGAUGUUUACUUAGGAAAAUACAGAAUUCAAACUCGAGCACAAAAAUAUAAACUAAGUCACCAGAACUAGGAGAUGACCAGCCAUGAAAGAACAACAUAUAUCAAACAGGACUCUUAUCAUUAGGAAAAAGCUAAAUCUCAGAGCUCCAAUCCACUGCACUACCACAACAAAUGCUCUCAAAUAAGCAAAACAUAUUGGCAUAAAAUAAAAGACCAUUUAGCCUGCGACUGGCAAGGAGACACCUGUUGAAGCUGCUCUGCAAUUCAUACAAGGAGUACAAUACAUCCCUUGCAAAGAUACACUUCUCUGAUCUGACAUCGGACCUUAUAAAAUAAGAUUUUCUAACACCUUUAGUCGAUAUCAGUAGAAAGUAGUCCAAUUUAGCUCCAAGAAAACAUCCCAUAGCGAACUCAACCACAGAUAUGAAUAAAAAGGGUAAACACCAAAAUGAUCUCUCAAGUCAAAGACACUAAGCACCUAACCUUCCAAAUUAACCAGACCUUUCAACUGCAGACCUACUCAAAAGUCACAAGCACGGGUAAAAUUCCCCAAAAAUUUACUUAUGACAUGUUAACCUUUUCCGCCAGAACAGAAGACCAACCACACCAAAAACAGCUAAUUCCUCACUAUGCAUUUCUCUUAACUUAGGCUUAUUUCAUCAAAUUAUAAGACUAUGAAAGACAAAGUAUAUUUUUUUUAUUUUUAUGACAGUGGCGCCGGGCCAUUUUUCGUGCACCUCGAUUAUUCCACCGGGUACUGCUAUCUCCCACCAACACAGGCACCGGGUAACUCUAAUCAAUGCUUGGACAGAUGGGGAAAAAUCACCUAGCCUUUUUGGGAAAUUACUCCUAUUUCUCAAGACAAAGCAAUAAUAUGAACAAAAUAAUAUAACAUAACACAAAAAAUUACCAGGCAUUUUAUCACCAAGUCCAAGAGAGACAGCCAAUUUAGGCAUCUGUUUCCUCCAAGCAGACCCAACAACAAGUUUCCUGUACAAAUCAAAAUCCUCAUCCUUGACUAUCCCAAAAGUUACCAAAUGCUGCAAGAAAGUAUGCACAUCUGGCGUCUUCACAUUCUCAAUCCCUCCUCUUUCAUCCAAGCUCCUCUUCCAUAUCUCCGCUAUCUCAUUGGCCUUAUCCUUAACACUCGGCGUCACCAAUUUCCUCUCAUUUCCCAAAACCGGGUCCAUCAUAACUGGAAUCAAAGACUCCAACAUCAAAACACAGGCCCAGCCCAAAUCAAGGGUUGGGUUAGGCCUUUUAUCCUCUGGAAACACCUCGGAUAUCGAUUCCAACACGAACCUCGGCGGAUCCACGCAGUCUCCUAAUGCUUUCGGUAUUUCAACCCUAAGUGAAUCCAAAUCCUUCUUUUUUACAAUUAAAAACCUCCAGAAGCUUCUAGAAUCCAUCUUAACACAAAAGCCCUUCAAUUUUAGAUACAAUCCAGUAGAGUCAUCGACUUCGGGUUGUUCUGCACCCUCAUCUAGGGCUAAAAUAGCAGCUUGCUUGUUUUCGAGAACCUUCUGAAGAGAAAUUGAGAGUGAAACGUUCAUUGAAUUCUCGCGCUUUUCCAGGACUUCGAGGGAUGCUUUGGUUUCGGAAUCUAGGGUUUGGAUUUUAGCUUUUAAGGCUUCGGAUUUCUUGAGGAUGUCUUGUUCGAGUGAAGUGAAGUGAUCGGAGAGCUCUUUCCACAGGAGUGUGCAGCUUGUCAUUAAAGAAGUUUGGCGCUGGAAGUCGUCGAAACUCGGCGGCGGCGCCACCGAGUCGAGUUCGCCGC
rnacentral:lncRNA from 1 species